rnacentral:rRNA from 1 species
UGGUGACUAUAGCAAGGAGGUCACACCUGUCCCCAUGCCGAACACAGAAGUUAAGCUCCUUAGCGUCGAUGGUAGUCGAACUUACGUUCCGCUAGAGUAGAACGUUGCCAGGCA